CUUAAUUGUACCAAUGAAAUAAUAACCAGGAUGGCCGCAACUAUUUACUUUUCACACACUCCCGUAGAGCCCUUUCUUCCUCCUCGCCUCCUUCAGCUGAAUCCUUCACAAUAAAAGCCCCAGAACAGAGCUCCCAAAGGACGGCGCAGCUCACACAGGAGCUCCGCUGAUGACAUCAUCAGCUUGUUUGGCCUGCUUCUUUACGCAGACCAGAGACAUUCCACGACCUCCGUCUCACUUAUCACCAGUGAUCAGGAGAAGGUCCGGCUUUUAUUUUGCAGGUCAGUCUGAUAAUUUAAGUGUAAGUGUGUGUGUGUGUUUGUGUUGUUGCAUGUCAUCAUCCUGCCGCAAUGAAAGGAGUGGUUCCCUCGGCAACGAGCCCCGACAACAUCAUAACAGUGCUGAUGAAAAAGGAGUGGCAGUGAGAAUCAGAGGUGCGCUGACCUUUCAUCGCGCGGUGAGAACCGCCGUAGGCGAGGAAAACGGGCCGGCUCGUUGCGUGGUUCUCGCACAUCGCUGCCGGGCAUCUUUCUCUCCAACGAGCUUCACUGUGC
ensembl:lncRNA